UGUCGCCACCUUGUGUAUUGGCGUAACCUCCUGUGUUGGCUACACAUUCCUUUCAAGUCAUUUGUAGCAGCAGUGUGCCACUAACCCCACUCAUUAAUCCAGGCAUUGCCAGAAGUUGCUUUUUCACAUUCUUACAUAAAAUUCAAACGAGAACCUUAGAGAUACAGUUUUUUAUCACGCCUGGACCUAGGUGCAGUAAAAGUUUCAGAGUCCAAGCAUUUCCUGGUGCAACAGGCAUUGCUGGUAAAACAACCUGGAUUCCUCCAGUUUCAGUCAAGGCUGCCCACUUCAGCAGUGCAUCAGGAUAGUCCAGGAGUGUAACCUGUGGUUGUGAAAGGGUCUUCAUAGUGCUGCUCUCUGUCUGCACCCUCCAGGGUUUGGUCCCAUAGAUGGCUUCCCCAUUGAUCUUCAUCCAGGCUCCAAGUCCCCUCAGCCGCUCCUCAAACACUGGAGCUAUCAUGCCAUCUGACAUCGGCCCGAUGUUCAGCAGCCCCAGGAGCGUUUGUCAAUGGACUGGCAUUUCUCCCACUUGUGGUCUGGUAGUCUACCAGGGCUGUCGUUGUAAAGCCAGGCUAAAAACUGGGUGGAGUUCCAGUAGGUGUCAGGUGCUUCCCAGUCUCCAUCAGACCAGAUAAGCUCUGGUUGGUACUGCAUCACAAGGUCUACUAACUCAGGAAGUGCCUUGAGAGCGACAAAAUCCUGAGUCUUGUAUCCAGAGGCUUUGUCUGCCAAGUAAAGGGGAUGGAACCAUUCAAAGAAAGAGUGGUAGAGGCCCCAAUGCAGUGACCUGAUGGAUGAGAACAAUGAGCAUGACAAAUAUAACUCAUUUAGGAUUAAGAGAAUGUCUUUCUGUACCCCUUACCACUUGCAGAGUUGAAUAAAUCUAUCAUUUACAGAAUUUGUUUUAUGGUUCCUCGCCAUAGACCUACUUCCCAUAUUUUGGUUAAACCACAAUCAUAUCAUUUAUUAUAAAAGGAAAAGGGAUGCAGACGCUGCAUCUAUCCUUACCUCUUCCUGACUGCUGCAGCCAGCUCUCCCACCAGGUCCCUGUGAGGACCCACAUCCAUCGAGUUCCAGUUCCAGGAGCACCACAACCACUCACUGAACUGCCCGUAGCCAGGGACCGAGAAGACCCCCCAGUGGACGAAUAUCCCGAGCUUCGCCUCGUCGAACCACGGGGGAAGGGGUCUAGCAUCCAGACUGGUCCAGUCCUCUGUGUAUCGAGCUGAACAUCCAGGUACAAACACGAGGAGGGAAAUCAAACAAAUAAAAUUUGCAAUGCUCGUAGGCUUUAGAGAAGUCAUGUUACCUUGUGGCCAGACUACAGUGUAGUCCUGUGUCUGCUAAACAGGUUGCUACCUGUCUACCUGUCUGUCAAUAUGUUCUAAAGGCACCUGAAUGCUGCUGUGGGAAGUGCAAUGUGGUCGCCUACUCGUGCUCCACUUCCUUCAUACAAAAACUGUCCCACAUGAAACUAUUUCUUUCAUUCUUUUUUUCCUUUAUUUUGCUUUUUUUCAAGUUGUUUUUAUUGACUAAUGGUUUAUUUUACUUCUACCUU